CCCAGUUAUUGUCAGCUGUCCAGGCCAACACCAUGCCUGUGACGGUGUUACAUUUCUGGGAGAGAAAUGCACUGUCGUCACCAAGGUCUUGUCACAUGGCACUGUUUUAGUGCCAAGGCUGACUGCCUUUAGAUAGUGCUUUGCACCACUGAGAGUGGAUUAACUUCCUUUAUGAAGUUAGUCCUAGUCUAGGUGCACACAUG
ensembl:snoRNA SNORA74 Small nucleolar RNA SNORA74